rnacentral:rRNA from 1 species
AAGUUGCAAAGCACUUUGAAGAGAGAGUUAAAGAGGACGUGAAACCGGUAAGGUGGAAACGGAUAGAGUCGGCGUAUCAUUCAAGUAUUCAGUUACAUUAUUUUUAUGUUGUGACCUCUGAGCUCCAGAUUGGGACAGAGGGAAUCAGCAUAAUUUUUUGUGGUGCAUUUACUUGAUUGGUGCUUGGGGAUGUUUGAGGCAGAUUUGUUUCCGUCGUUUUGAGGCCAGCUUGCUGGUACCCAAACGGUGUUAGCAUUUUUUGUCUUGGGCAUUUGAGUAUGGCUCACGUGUAUUUAUUGGACAGAUCUGAGUGUAAGUUACGGUCGCAUGCGACACGUGCUUUUCAAUUAGUUCGGUCCAGUUAAUGCUCUCGUACUCGUUCCCCAUGUAAAAGCCGGUCAUCUAUCCGACCCGUCUUGAAACACGGACCAAGGAGUUUAUCGUGUGCGCAAGUUUUUGGGUGUUAAAAACCUAAAGGCGAAAUGAAAGUAAAUGGCUCUUUAGAGUCUGAUGUGCGAUCUUGUAAAAAAGUGCAGCAUGGCCCCAUUCUAACUGUUUACAGUAGGGUGGCGGAAGAGCGUACGCGGUGAGACCCGAAAGAUGGUGAACUAUUCCUGAGCAGGACGAAGCCAGAGGAAACUCUGGUGGAAGUCCGAAGCGG